rnacentral:rRNA from 1 species
GGGCCCGCACAAGCGGUGGAGCAUGUGGUUUAAUUCGAUGCAACGCGAAGAACCUUACCGGGGCUUGAACUGCAGUGGACAUCCCAUGAAAGUGGGCUUCCUUCGGGACCGCUGUAGAGGUGCUGCAUGGUUGUCGUCAGCUCGUGUCGUGAGAUGUUGGGUUAAGUCCCGCAACGAGCGCAACCCCUGUCCUUAGUUGCCAACAGCUCGGCUGGGAACUCUAAGGAGACUGCCGACCCUAAGUCGGAGGAAGGUGGGGACGACGUCAAAUCCUCAUGGCCCUUACGUCCCGGGCUACACACGUGCUACAAUGGCCGGUACAAAGGGUUGCAAGACCGCAAGGUGGAGCUAAUCCCAAAAAACCGGUCUCAGUUCAGAUCGAAGUCUGCAACUCGACUUCGUGAAGGCGGAAUCGCUAGUAAUCGCGGAUCAGAAUGCCGCGGUGAAUACGUUCCCGGGCCUU